GAGUGCCUCAAGCGUUAUCCGGAAUUAUUGGGCGUAAAGGGUGUGUAGGUGGUUUUAUUAGUCUUUUGUCAAAACUAUCGGCUUAACCGAUAGCUUGCAAGGGAAACGGUAAGACUUAGAGUGUGCGAGGGGUCUGUGGAACUCAUAGUGUAGCGGUGAAAUGCGUUGAUAUUAUGGGGAACACCAAAAGCGAAGGCAGCAGACUGGAGCAUUACUGACACUGAAACACGAAAGCGUGGGUAGCGAAUGGGAUUAGAUACCCCAGUAGUCCACGCCCUAAACUAUGUUUUCUAGGUUUUCGGAGUAUCGACCCUCUGAGAGCCACAGCUAACGCGUUAAGAAAACCGCCUGGGUAUUACGACC
rnacentral:rRNA from 1 species